CCGUCACUUGUUUUGUUCCCAAAUAGAAAUCCAAUCUCCUUAUAAUUUCUUUCCACUUCCAUAAUUCAUGCCAGUUGGAGUUUCUUCCGCCCCCAAUUUUCUAUUCCAAGGCCCAAUUCUUUAAAGUGAUACAAAUUAAUCCUUGAGUCCAUAUCUUUUAGCAGCCCUUGUCCUUUUUAUUUCAAUUCAAGUCCUUCAAUUCCUAAAGUAUAGAAUUUGAUCCCAAACAUUGCAUCCGUUAACCAACUGAUCCUUCUUUCUUUUCCAAUUACUUUUAAAUGACUCC
rnacentral:lncRNA from 1 species